rnacentral:rRNA from 1 species
CGGCACGGGUGCGUAACGCGUGGGAAUCUGCCCUUGGGUUCGGAAUAACAGUUAGAAAUGACUGCUAAUACCGGAUGAUGACUUCGGUCCAAAGAUUUAUCGCCCAGGGAUGAGCCCGCGUAGGAUUAGCUUGUUGGUGAGGUAAGAGCUCACCAAGGCGACGAUCCUUAGCUGGUCUGAGAGGAUGAUCAGCCACACUGGGACUGAGACACGGCCCAG